GCCUUCGUGGUGUAGUGGUCAGCACGCUGGGCGCGUAUUCCAGAGGUCCGUGGUUCAAGUCCCGGCGAAGGCG
rnacentral:tRNA from 1 species